GAUGAACGCUAGCUACAGGCUUAACACAUGCAAGUCGAGGGGUAACGAGAGGAAAGCUUGCUUUCCUUGUCGACGACCGGCGCACGGGUGAGUAACGCGUAUCCAACCUGCCCCCAACUAAGGAAUAACCUUGCGAAAGUAAGACUAAUACCUUAUAAUUUCCUCAGAUGUCAUCUGACGAGGAAUAAAGAUUUAUCGGUUGUGGAUGGGGAUGCGUGUGAUUAGCUUGCUGGCGGGGUAACGGCCCACCAAGGCAACGAUCAGUAGGGGUUCUGAGAGGAAGGUCCCCCACAUUGGAACUGAGACACGGUCCAAACUCCUACGGGAGGCAGCAGUGAGGAAUAUUGGUCAAUGGGCGAAAGCCUGAACCAGCCAAGUAGCGUGCAGGAUGACGGCCCUAUGGGUUGUAAACUGCUUUUAUACAGGAAUAAAGUUAGCCACGUGUGGUUAUUUGUAGGUACUGUAUGAAUAAGGACCGGCUAAUUCCGUGCCAGCCGCCGCGGUAA
rnacentral:rRNA from 1 species